GAUUGAACGCUGGCGGCAUGCCUUACACAUGCAAGUCGAACGGCAGCACGGGAGCAAUCCUGGUGGCGAGUGGCGAACGGGUGAGUAAUACAUCGGAACGCGCCCAGUAGUGGGGGAUAACCCGGCGAAAGCCGGACUAAUACCGCAUACGACCUACGGGUGAAAGCAGGGGAUCGCAAGACCUUGCGCUAUCGGAGCGGCCGAUGUCAGAUUAGCUAGUUGGGGGGUAAAAGCCCACCAAGGCGACGAUCUGUAGCUGGUCUGAGAGGACGACCAGCCACACUGGGACUGAGACACGGCCCAGACUCCUACGGGAGGCAGCAGUGGGGAAUUUGGACAAUGGGCGCAAGCCUGAUCCAGCCAUGCCGCGUGCGGGAA
rnacentral:rRNA from 1 species